CGGGAGGUAGCGUAGUUUGGCUUAGCGCGUCUGCUUUGGGAGCAGAAGACCGGGAGUUCGAAUCUCCCCCUCCCGA
rnacentral:tRNA from 1 species